GGGCGUGUGUGUGUGUGUGUGUGUGUGUGUGUCCGUCCAUCUACGCCAGCCACAGCCAGAGG
rnacentral:miRNA from 1 species